rnacentral:rRNA from 1 species
AGAGUUUGAUCCUGGCUCAGAACGAACGCUGGCGGUACGCUUAACACAUGCAAGUCGAACGAGAAAGCCCGCAAGGGCGAGUAAAGUGGCGAACGGGUGAGUAACACGUGGACAACCUACCCUUAAGUCUGGGAUAACUCUUUGAAAGAAGAGCUAAUACCGGAUAACAAUGGUAUUUAAUUGUACUAUUUGAAAGAUUUAUUGCUUUUGGAGGGGUCCGCGCUGUAUUAGUUUGUUGGUGAGGUAACGGCUCACCAAGGCAUCGAUGCAUAACAGGUCUGAGAGGAUGAUCUGUCACACUGGAACUGAGACACGGUCCAGACUCCUACGGGAGGCAGCAGUGGGGAAUCUUGCGCAAUGGGCGAAAGCCUGACGCAGCGAUACCGCGUGAGUGAAGAAGGCCUUCGGGUUGUAAAACUCUUUUAUUGGGGAAGAUAAUGACUGUACCCAAUGAAUAAGCACCGGCUAACUCCGUGCCAGCAGCCGCGGUAAGACGGAGGGUGCAAGCGUUGUUCGGAUUUACUGGGCGUAAAGAGUGCGUAGACGGUUGUUUGCGUGAGGGGUGAAAUCCCGAGGCCUAACCUCGGAAUUGCUCUUCAAACGGAACAGCUAGAGAGUAUCAGAGGUAAGUGGAAUUCCUGGUGUAGAGGUGGAAUUCGUAGAUAUCAGGAGGAACACCUGCGGCGAAGGCAGCUUACUGGGGUACAUCUGACGUUGAGGCACGAAAGCAUAGGUAGCAAACGGGAUUAGAUACCCCGGUAGUCUAUGCCGUAAACGAUGAAUACCAGCUACUUGCCCUAAAAAGCGAGCGGCGCAGCUAACGCAAUGAGUAUUCCGCCUGGGGACUACGGUCGCAAGACUAAAACUCAAAGGAAUUGACGGGGACCCGCACAAGCGGUGGAGCAUGUGGUUUAAUUCGACGCAACGCGAAGAACCUUACCUGGAUUUGACAUUCCUUGACCGCAUUAGAGAUAAUGUUUUUCUUCGGAACAAGGUAACAGGUGCUGCAUGGCUGUCGUCAGCUCGUGUCGUGAGAUGUUGGAUUAAGUUCCUCAACGAGCGCAACCCUUAUCCUUAUUUGCCAGCGAGUAAUGUCGGGAACUUUAAGGAGACUGCUAGCGUUAAGCUGGAGGAAGGUGGGGAUGACGUCAAGUCCGCAUGGCCCUUAUGUCCAGGGCUACACACGUGCUACAAUGGGGGGGACAAAGAGUUGCUAAAUCGCAAGAUCAUGCUAAUCUCAUAAAACCUCUCUCAGUUCGGAUUGAAGUCUGCAAUUCGACUUCAUGAAGCUGGAAUCGCUAGUAAUCGUGGAUCAGCACGCCACGGUGAAUACGUUCUCGGGUCUUGUACACACCGCCCGUCAAACCAUGGGAGUUGAUUUAGGAGGAAGUCGCUGAGCCAACCGCAAGGAGGCAGGCGCCCAAUCUUGAAUCGAUGACUGGGGUUAAGUCGUAACAAGGUA